rnacentral:sRNA from 1 species
GGUUUCUUCUUUUCUUUACAUCUUAGCUUAGGGGUUUUUUCUGUUUUUUUU